GAUGAACGCUGGCGGCGUGCCUAAUACAUGCAAGUCGAGCGAACAGAUAAGGAGCUUGCUCCUGUGACGUUAGCGGCGGACGGGUGAGUAACACGUGGGUAACCUACCUAUAAGACUGGGAUAACUUCGGGAAACCGGAGCUAAUACCGGAUAACAUUUGGAACCGCAUGGUUCUAAAGUGAAAGAUGGUUUUGCUAUCACUUAUAGAUGGACCCGCGCCGUAUUAGCUAGUUGGUAAGGUAACGGCUUACCAAGGCGACGAUACGUAGCCGACCUGAGAGGGUGAUCGGCCACACUGGAACUGAGACACGGUCCAGACUCCUACGGGAGGCAGCAGUAGGGAAUAUUCCGCAAUGGGCGAAAGCCUGACGGAGCAACGCCGCGUGAGUGAUGAAGGGUUUCGGAUCGUAAAACUCUGUUAUUAGGGAAGAACAAAUGUGUAAGUAAAUGUGCACGUCUUGACGGUACCUAAUCAGAAAGCCACGGCUAACUACGUG
rnacentral:rRNA from 1 species